AUGGUGGUUCAAACUCAUUAUCCUGCAUGGUUCAAUAGUCAUAUAAAUUAUGCUUCUGUUUGGGUCAAACUCAUUAGUGCUUUUGUUUGGACGCAACUUGCCUCAAGUUUGAUUUGUUUCCUAAUUAUUCUGCAUGCAAAAAUUUCCUUGCAUGAGAUCGCUAGGGAGUCAUUUCGCUCUUAUAUUUCUUCACUAAUCCAAUAUCUCAUCCUACACGAUGCAACAAUAAAUCCUAUAUCACACAUACCCGUUGUGCACACACUGCGGCCGGUCAUCGAAGAGCUUCGGCAACCACAUAAGCACCUCACCCUCGACCGGCUGCAAUGGAGACCGCAGCAUGGUCCUAGUGCACCACGACGACGGUUGGUCGACCUUGAGGCGCCAAGGCGAGUUAUCAAAACCAAACCUGGGUGUUGA
rnacentral:rRNA from 1 species